UACUUACCAGCGUGCUAUCCAAGAUUGCUUGAGUUCCUAGAUUGGGCGCAAUGUAGAAGCUUGCGUGGACAACGUGAUUAUCAAUACCCAAAGUCCCGAGACCUUGUUUGAAAACCUGACUGAGACUUUGAAAAUUUGUACAAAUUUUGAUGGAAACUUAACCCGACUAAGUGUACAUUCCAUGUGGUGUGAGGGCAGUUACUCGCUUCGUCAUAAGCCAUCAUGGGAUUGAAGCCAGUCCCA
rnacentral:lncRNA from 1 species